UGUCGGUGUAGAGCAGCCCGGUAGCUCGUCAGGCUCAUAACCUGAAGGCCGCAGGUUCAAAUCCUGCCACCGCAACCA
rnacentral:tRNA from 1 species